rnacentral:lncRNA from 1 species
GAGAUGAAACUGAAGUUGACAAUGAUGGGGAAGAUGAAAUUUAUCAUAAGCGACCUGAUAAAGACAAAGCACUAAAGAAAUACAGUCAGUAUUUUUGUCAUUAAAUAUUUGUUAUUAG